rnacentral:lncRNA from 1 species
GUCAUCCCAGAGCUCAGCAUUGAAACCAGCCGGAAAUUGUUCAGUUGGGGGAACUAGGGGAAAGGGAACAGUGAUGUGAAGGGCAGAGGCAGUGGUGGGAAGCCUGUGUGUGGCCGACGCAUGCUUUUAUGCUGUCAUCACGGCCUUGCUUUCUAUAGCAGGGAUCUGAGAAGCAGGCAGGCAGCUGCUCUGCCUGAGACUGUCAGGAGUUGGUGGAUAUGAAUCCAUGUCUGAAGCCCAAGCUCUCGCUACUCUGCUGUCUCCCUGAGGGGUGCAUGAAGGCCCCAGCCCAGUCAGUGACACAGAGGUUGGGAAGACCAGGGCAUGAAGCUUCUGUGCUUGGAGAACAGGAGGGCUUGUGGAGCUGUGGUUGAUGGCGUGUCCAGGAAGCCUGGCCAGGCUGGACUCCUCCCCCUUCUCCCAUUCCCUGGCUGGGCUCCUCUUCCUUGGGACCUUCAUAGCUUGAUGAGAAGACAGUGCCCUCUCGGCCAGACCAGGACAUUAUUUGACAGUAGAGAAACUGGAGUGUAGACAAACACCAUGGAUGCUGUGUGGAAGAGUUGUUCCCAGCUGAAGAUGUCCCUCCUCAGUGAAGCCCUGCCUGAGCGCCUCCGGUCCUUCUCAGCAGCCAGAGGCUUCUCAGCACUUUUGCGUUCCCAUCUGGGUGGGAACUGCAUGGCCUGUUUAAGCACAAGGAGGGGGAGUGUGGGGAAGGG